rnacentral:rRNA from 1 species
GGCCAGACUCCUACGGGAGGCAGCAGUGGGGAAUAUUGCACAAUGGGGGAAACCCUGAUGCAGCGACGCCGCGUGAGUGAAGAAGUAUUUCGGUAUGUAAAGCUCUAUCAGCAGGAAAGAAAAUGACGGUACCUGACUAAGAAGCCCCGGCUAACUACGUGCCAGCAGCCGCGGUAAUACGUAGGGGGCAAGCGUUAUCCGGAUUUACUGGGUGUAAAGGGAGCGUAGACGGUGAAGCAAGUCUGAAGUGAAAGGCGGGGGCUCAACCCCCGGACUGCUUUGGAAACUGUUUGACUGGAGUGCAGGAGAGGUAAGUGGAAUUCCUAGUGUAGCGGUGAAAUGCGUAGAUAUUAGGAGGAACACCAGUGGCGAAGGCGGCUUACUGGACUGUAACUGACGUUGAGGCUCGAAAGCGUGGGGAGCAAACAGGAUUAGAUACCCGUGUAGG